rnacentral:misc_RNA from 1 species
UCCGGUUUAACACCGGCAGUCUCCAUAGAGUGCCCAACUGAAUGAUGGCAACUAGGGAUAAGGGUUGCGCUCGUUAAGGGACUUAACCCGACAUCUCACGAUACGAGCUGACGACAGCCAUGCAGCACCUGUCUCCUUGCCCCCGAAGGGGAAACCGUACUUCUACGGCGAUCAAGGGAUGUCAAAUCUAGGUAAGGUUCUUCGCGUAGCAUCGAAUUAAACCACAUGCUCCACCGCUUGUGCGGGCCCCCGUCAAUUCCUUUGAGUUUUAAUCUUGCGACCGUACUUCCCAGGCGGGGUACUUAACGCGUUAGCUACGACACUGCGGGGGUCAAUUCCCACAACAUCUAGUACCCAUCGUUUACAGCGUGGACUAC